UACGUAGGGGGCGAGCGUUGUCCGGAGUUACUGGGCGUAAAGGGUGCGCAGGCGGGCGUCCGCGUUUGCGGUGAAAGCUCCUGGCUCAACUGGGAGAGGGCCGUGAAGACGGGGCGUCUUGAGGCUCGGAGAGGGACGUGGAAUUCCGGGUGGAGCGGUGAAAUGCGUAGAGAUCCGGAAGAACACCGACGGCGAAGGCAGCGUCCUGGCCGAGGCCUGACGCUCAGGCACGAAAGCGCGGGGAGCAAACAGG
rnacentral:rRNA from 1 species